GACGAACGCUGGCGGCGUGCCUAAUACAUGCAAGUCGAACGCACAGUUUAUACCGUAGCUUGCUACACCAUAGACUGUGAGUUGCGAACGGGUGAGUAACGCGUAGGUAACCUGCCUGGUAGCGGGGGAUAACUAUUGGAAACGAUAGCUAAUACCGCAUAAUAUUAAUUAUUGCAUGAUAAUUAAUUGAAAGGUGCAAUUGCACCACUACCAGAUGGACCUGCGUUGUAUUAGCUAGUAGGUGAGGUAACGGCUCACCUAGGCGACGAUACAUAGCCGACCUGAGAGGGUGAUCGGCCACACUGGGACUGAGACACGGCCCAGACUCCUACGGGAGGCAGCAGUAGGGAAGCUUCGGCAAUGGACGAAAGUCUGACCGAGCAACGCCGCGUGAGUGAAGAAGGUUUUCGGAUCGUAAAGCUCUGUUGUAAGAGAAGAACGGGUGUGAGAGUGGAAAGUUCACACUGUGACGGUAUCUUACCAGAAAGGGACGGCUAACUACGUG
rnacentral:rRNA from 1 species